UACAGAGACUGCAAGCGUUGUUCGGAUUCAUUGGGCGUAAAGGGUGCGUAGGCGGUGAGGUAAGUCGGUUGUGGAAUCCCAAGGCUUAACCUUGGAAGUGCGUCCGAAACUACCUCGCUGGAGGACUGGAAGGGAGACUGGAAUUCUCGGUGUAGCGGUGAAAUGCGUAGAUAUCGAGAGGAACACCGGUGGCGAAGGCGGGUCUCUGGACAGUUCCUGACGCUGAGGCACGAAAGCCAGGGUAGCAAACGGG
rnacentral:rRNA from 1 species